ACAAAUAACAAUCUUUACCAAAAUGAAAAUGAAAUAUUUAUAUAUUUACAAACUGAGAUAAAUUAAUUGAUCUAGAAAUUUACUAAAAAAAUACACCGUCCAGCUUUAGUGUGAAUGGAUUUUAAGAUGAAAGAGGAGAUACCAUGUUGGAGAUCGGGCCUUUACCAACAAGUUAAAAGUACUUUCUUGGGCCGAAUGAAAACUUAAUAAGUAAGAAAUGGCCCAUUUAUAGUUAAACUAAUGCAUUAUAUGUUUCAAGAUUCAUUCCAUUACUUGGGCCAGUUUGAGGCCUAUGCCUAGAGAAAGAGGAUCCGUGGACUAAUAUAAUUUACCAUAAAAAAUGAGAAAAAAAGGGGAAGGACGAAACUAUGUCAAGGAGAGGCAGAAGUCUAGCAUACCGAGGAGGUUCCAAGAUCAUCAGCAAGGCGAAAAAUCAUGGAUGACCAUCCAAUUAUAUAUGGGUAUUCCUCCAUGAAUUGUGACGCCUCCUCUGUUGUUGGAUUGGAAACAUAAAAAUAUGCAUGAACUAGAAUCACUGGCGCUGAAAUUGAAAUCCAUGCAUUAUCCAUGUAUUCUUGAAGAGUUGGUGUAUAUCCACUGGAAGUACCACUUAGCCUCCAAUAAAUAUGAUUUACGUAAGUCUGCCCACUGAAAAUUAACCAUAGUCUUGUAUUCCCAAAAG